rnacentral:rRNA from 1 species
GACGAACGCUGGCGGCGUGCCUAAUACAUGCAAGUCGAGCGGAAUGAUGAAGAAGCUUGCUUCUUCUGAUUUUAGCGGCGGACGGGUGAGUAACACGUGGGCAACCUACCUUGUAGAUUGGGAUAACUCCGGGAAACCGGGGCGUAAUACCGAAUAAUCCAUUUUGCUUCAUGGCGAGAUGUUGAAAGACGGUUUCGGCUGUCACUACAAGAUGGGCCCGCGGCGCAUUAGCUAGUUGGUAGGGUAAUGGCCUACCAAGGCGACGAUGCGUAGCCGACCUGAGAGGGUGAUCGGCCACACUGGGACUGAGACACGGCCCAGACUCCUACGGGAGGCAGCAGUAGGGAAUCUUCCACAAUGGACGAAAGUCUGAUGGAGCAACGCCGCGUGAGUGAAGAAGGUUUUCGGAUCGUAAAACUCUGUUGUAAGGGAAGAACACGUACGAGAGUAACUGCUCGUACCUUGACGGUACCUUAUUAGAAAGCCACGGCUAACUACGUG